UACGGAGGAGGCAAGCGUUAUCCGGAAUUAUUGGGCGUAAAGCGUCCGCAGGUGGCACUUCAAGUCUGUCGUCAAAGACUGGGGCUUAACCCUGGAAAGGCGGUGGAAACUGAAGCGCUAGAGUGUGGUAGGGGUAGAGGGAAUUCCAGGUGUAGCAGUGAAAUGCGUAGAGAUCUGGAGGAACACCGAUGGCGAAGGCAGCCCCCUGGGCUAACACUGACGCUCAUGCACGAAAGCGUGGGGAGCAAACAGG
rnacentral:rRNA from 1 species